UACGUAGGGUCCGAGCGUUGUCCGGAAUUACUGGGCGUAAAGGGCUCGUAGGUGGUUUGUCGCGUUGUUCGUGAAAACUCACAGCUUAACUGUGGGCGUGCGGGCGAUACGGGCAGACUAGAGUACUGCAGGGGAGACUGGAAUUCCUGGUGUAGCGGUGGAAUGCGCAGAUAUCAGGAGGAACACCGGUGGCGAAGGCGGGUCUCUGGGCAGUAACUGACGCUGAGGAGCGAAAGCGUGGGGAGCGAACAGG
rnacentral:rRNA from 1 species